rnacentral:rRNA from 1 species
UACGUAGGGAGCAAGCGUUAUCCGGAUUUAUUGGGUGUAAAGGGUGCGUAGACGGGAAUAUAAGUUGGUUGUGAAAUCCCCAGGCUCAACUUGGGAACUGCAACCAAAACUGUAUUUCUUGAGUGCUGGAGAGGAAAGCGGAAUUCCUAGUGUAGCGGUGAAAUGCGUAGAUAUUAGGAGGAACACCAGUGGCGAAGGCGGCUUUCUGGGCAGUAACUGACGUUGAGGCGCGAAAGUGUGGGGAGCAAAC